UCCGUAGGCGGGUUUAUAAGUCAGUGGUGAAAGUUUGCGGCUCAACCGUAAAAUUGCCAUUGAUACUGUAGACCUUGAAUUAGUGUGAAGUGGUUAGAAUAUGUAGUGUAGCGGUGAAAUGCAUAGAUAUUACACAGAAUACCAAUUGCGAAGGCAGAUCACUAACACUAUAUUGACGCUGAGGGACGAAAGCGUGGGGAGCGAACAGGAUUAGAUACCCUGGUAGUCC
rnacentral:rRNA from 1 species